AGUAGCACCGUCUUUAUGACAGGGAUGAGUUGGAAAGGACCGGCUGCAGAGAAAGGCGAGAAGAAAACAAGGGAAGAAGUAAAUGAAUUAGUGGAAGCACAUCUAGAGGUUGGUCAAAAAUACCUGUAAGAGGGCCACAGUGGAUCCUGCAAGUAGACAUGAAUAAUCGCUCUAUCGCCUGGUGGCUGAGACAGAUUGAACUGCCACAGUACACCAAGACCCUAGAGAGUGAAUACUAUGGUCUGGAGGGUCUGAUGCAUGUAA